GUGUUUGUAUGUAUAGGUGUUGAAGUCAAAGACUUGCUUUCCAAAAUGCAACAUAGCCAUUUGUAGACAAUUCAACAUUGUGCAUAAUAAAAUAUACAUGUAUGAUCAAGUACCGGUAGCUUUUUUUUGAUAAAAUCAAUCAGUUUGUUUUUAUAAUACGUUUAGCUGCCUCAUUGUUAUGGCCUAAUUUCAUCCUCAUUAUCAGGUGAAAUCCAUUGUUUCAAAUUGUAUACUACCUCAAUCUGCUGAAAUGUUCUUUUUGUGGCAUUUGUUCAUGGAGGGUUAAUCACUGGCUAAAUCUUGCAAAAUGCAAGAGUGACAAGUUAUGCAAACUGUAGCAUCAAGAAUUAUAUACAUGCCUUAAAUUUUUAGAUGUAAUUUGAGGUAAUGACAAAUUGUAAUACAUGAACUUGAAUUUGUUGUCAUCGGCGAUACUGAUCAAUUAGAGAAAUGAAGGUACUUGUGUUGAACUAAUUACUACAGUUUCAAUGAUUAGGGUAAUUUGUUUUUUGUCAAGGUUGUCUUUCAAACAGAAAUCGUGUGCAAUAUCCAAGGUAAUUUUAAAUACUCAUGCAAGUAUGAUGCAUUUGUUUUUGUAGGUAAAGUUCAUCUCUGACGAUUAUACUGAAGAGAUGUACAUAACGCAGAAGAUGCAGUGAGUUUAUUGAUGGUUUCUGUGCUUGGCCAAGUUACAGUGCCGUCAUCCAGCCUUCAAGCAUGGUUCAGAAGCCAUGAACCACAAAUCAGCAUGUUUCCUUCCAGUUUCCAAUGAGCACUCUGACAGCAUCACUUAGCAUGCCAGUAUUCAACAUUGUGCAGAUCAUCUCUGUAAAGAUGGCUGUGUUGCUUCAGUUGCCACAUCUCUACGUAUGUUCUUCCUGUUAGCAAAGGCACACUGUGACAGCAUAUACUUUCUACAUGCUAAUACAUGCACAGUAUUGUUCAGGGAAAGACAUAUGCAAACCUAUCAGCUUCCAAAGUCGGCAACAUCCUGCUGUCACUACAGUCU